GAUGAAGAACGCAGCGAAAUGCGAUAAGUAAUGUGAAUUGCAGAAUUCCGUGAAUCAUCGAAUCUUUGAACGCAUAUUGCGCCCUCUGGUAUUCCGGGGGGCAUGCCUGUUCGAGCGUCAUUAUAACCACUCAAGCUCUCGCUUGGUAUUGGGGUUCGCGGUUCCGCGGCCCCUAAAAUCAGUGGCGGUGCCUGUCGGCUCUACGCGUAGUAAUACUCCUCGCGAUUGAGUCCGGUAGGUCUACUUGCCAGCAACCCCCAAUUUUUACAGGUUGACCUCGGAUCAGGUAGGGAUACCCGCUGAACUUAAGCAUAUCAAUAAGCGGAGGA
rnacentral:misc_RNA from 1 species